UACGGGGGGAGCAAGCGUUGUUCGGAUUUACUGGGCGUAAAGGGCGCGUAGGCGGCCACCGCAAGUCGGUUGUGAAAUCUCCGGGCUUAACCCGGAAAGGUCAAUCGAUACUGCGGGGCUAGAGUGCAGAAGGGGCAACUGGAAUUCUCGGUGUAGCGGUGAAAUGCGCAGAUAUCAGGAGGAACACCGGUGGCGAAGGCGGGUCUCUGGGCAACAACUGACGCUGAGGAGCGAAAGCGUGGGGAGCGAACAGG
rnacentral:rRNA from 1 species